rnacentral:rRNA from 1 species
UGGGGAAUAUUGGACAAUGGAGGAAACUCUGAUCCAGCACUUCUGCGUGUGUGAAGAAGGUUUUAGGACUGUAAAACACUUUUAGUAGGGAAGAAAAAAAUGACGGUACCUACAGACGAAGCAACGGCUAAAUACGUGCCAGCAGCCGCGGUAAUACGUAUGUUGCGAGCGUUAUCCGGAAUUAUUGGGCUUAAAGGGCAUCUAGGCGGUAAGACAAGUUGAAGGUGAAAACCUGUGGCUCAACCAUAGGCUUGCCUACAAAACUGUUGAACUAGAGUACUGGAAAGGUGGGUGGAACUACACGAGUAGAGGUGAAAUUCGUAGAUAUGUGUAGGAAUGCCGAUGAUGAAGAUAACUCACUGGACAGAAACUGACGCUGAAGUGCGAAAGCUAGGGGAGCAAACAGG